GAAUGCUGACAUAAGUAACGAUAAAGCGGGUGAAAAGCCCGCUCGCCGGAAGACCAAGGGUUCCUGUCCAACGUUAAUCGGGGCAGGGUGAGUCGACCCCUAAGGCGAGGCCGAAAGGCGUAGUCGAUGGGAAACGGGUUAAUAUUCCCGUACUUGGUGUUACUGCGAAGGGGGGACGGAGAAGGCUAUGUUGGCCGGGCGACGGUUGUCCCGGUUUAAGCGUGUAGGUGUGUGUUCCAGGUAAAUCCGGUUCACUUUAACACUGAGGCGUGACGACGAGGCACUACGGUGCUGAAGCAACAAAUGCCCUGCUUCCAGGAAAAGCCUCUAAGCAUCAGGUAACAUCAAAUCGUACCCCAAACCGACACAGGUGGUCAGGUAGAGAAUACCAAGGCGCUUGAGAGAACUCGGGUGAAGGAACUAGGCAAAAUGGUGCCGUAACUUCGGGAGAAGGCACGCUGACACGUAGGUGAAGUGAUUUACUCAUGGAGCUGAAGUCAGUCGAAGAUACCAGCUGGCUGCAACUGUUUAUUAAAAACACAGCACUGUGCAAACACGAAAGUGGACGUAUACGGUGUGACGCCUGCCCGGUGCCGGAAGGUUAAUUGAUGGGGUCAGCGCAAGCGAAGCUCCUGAUCGAAGCCCCGGUAAACGGCGGCCGUAACUAUAACGGUCCUAAGGUAGCGAAAUUCCUUGUCGGGUAAGUUCCGACCUGCACGAAUGGCGUAAUGAUGGCCAGGCUGUCUCCACCCGAGACUCAGUGAAAUUGAACUCGCUGUGAAGAUGCAGUGUACCCGCGGCAAGACGGAAAGACCCCGUGAACCUUUACUAUAGCUUGACACUGAACAUUGAGCCUUGAUGUGUAGGAUAGGUGGGAGGCUUUGAAGCGUGGACGCCAGUCUGCGUGGAGCCGACCUUGAAAUACCACCCUUUAAUGUUUGAUGUUCUAACGUGGACCCGUGAUCCGGGUUGCGGACAGUGUCUGGUGGGUAGUUUGACUGGGGCGGUCUCCUCCUAAAGAGUAACGGAGGAGCACGAAGGUUGGCUAAUCCUGGUCGGACAUCAGGAGGUUAGUGCAAUGGCAUAAGCCAGCUUGACUGCGAGCGUGACGGCGCGAGCAGGUGCGAAAGCAGGUCAUAGUGAUCCGGUGGUUCUGAAUGGAAGGGCCAUCGCUCAACGGAUAAAAGGUACUCCGGGGAUAACAGGCUGAUACCGCCCAAGAGUUCAUAUCGACGGCGGUGUUUGGCACCUCGAUGUCGGCUCAUCACAUCCUGGGGCUGAAGUAGGUCCCAAGGGUAUGGCUGUUCGCCAUUUAAAGUGGUACGCGAGCUGGGUUUAGAACGUCGUGAGACAGUUCGGUCCCUAUCUGCCGUGGGCGCUGGAGAACUGAGGGGGGCUGCUCCUAGUACGAGAGGACCGGAGUGGACGCAUCACUGGUGUUCGGGUUGUCAUGCCAAUGGCACUGCCCGGUAGCUAAAUGCGGAAGAGAUAAGUGCUGAAAGCAUCUAAGCACGAAACUUGCCCCGAGAUGAGUUCUCCC
rnacentral:rRNA from 1 species